GCGCGGGUGGCGAAAUUGGUAGACGCGCUACUUUGAGGGGGUAGUGGUCGUAAGGCCAUGAGAGUUCAAGUCUCUCCCCGCGCACCA
rnacentral:tRNA from 1 species